UCGAAACCAAAAUUUAUCAAAGCCAUAACAGCAACUAUUCCACGAAAUUAUUUACAGCAACUAUCUAUAAAAUUAAAAUACACCAGCAACUAUCAAGCCAUCAUUUACAUCUAACAUAACUAUUUACACCAGCAACUAUUUUACAAAAUUAAAAUACUCUUUCAAAGUCUCACUCUAUCACAAUUCACAGCAACUAUUUACAGCAGCUAUGCACACAAAAAUUUACACUAAUGAGCAGCUAUUUUCACAAAAUCUAGUAAUUUACAGCAGCUAUUUACAGGCUACAACAGUUAACUGAUUUGCUUGAUGAGCUAUUGACACAAAAUUUACAAUUACAAUAGCUAUUUACACAAAACUAUGAGCAAUUGAGCACCCAAACUCCAAUCAGCAUUUAGCAGACAACGGUAGUAUAUCAUCUCCAACACCAAGUCACCACCUCCAAAAACCAAAUUGGAUGAUGCCUAAAAAAGAAAGAAAAAAAGAGAUUGUUAUUCGUUAAUACCUGAAUGCACAGCAGCAACGUCGGCGGAGGGGGCGACGCUGGUCGCUGGCGGAGGGAGCGACGCUGGCGGAAUGAGUUAUCGUCGAGAAGAAGAAGAACAAGGCGGAGGGAGUGGCGCCAGCGUAGUGCGGUGAACGAGGUGACGGCAGCUGGGGUGGCGGGUGGCAGUCGGUGAUAGCAAAUGCAGCGGGCCAGCGGCGGACCAGGGACUGGGAGAGCGUCGGCGACUCGGCGGAGUGCAGGCUGACUGGCUGAGCACCGGGGGGAGGCAGUGACGCCGGUACCGGUGGGAGGCAAGGGAGGCGCCGGUGGGAAUGGGAAGCAAGCAAGGGGAGAGACAGACUCAAUUUCAAAGUCUCAAACCCUAACUAUUUGUGGGGUUUUUUAAAAUUUAAUAUAAUAUAAUA
rnacentral:lncRNA from 1 species